UGGUCAGAAAAGGCUUCUUAUGUGGGGACAUCUAGGGGAGACCUGAGGCAAAGAGCAAGGGAGGUCAGGCUAAUGUCAGACAAAGGAAAUGCAGGGAAAGGGGACCAGCAAAGGCUGACCAGAGGUCUCAAAGUAGAAGAAAACCAAGGGCAACCUUGACCUUUAUGACAUAGUGGAAGGUGGAGGAUUGAGAAGCAGGGGUGGCAGAUGUGGCACCAGAUCUUGCAGGCCUUCAGACUCCAACCUACAGGAAGGCAGCCUCCAGUGAAGACAGGUCUCAGCAUCACAGCUGCUUGUUAGCAAGAAAUCACUCUGGCUACACAAAGUAGAAUGUUUUCUCCAGAAAUCAGCCUGAAGACUGGGAGCCAGAUGAGAGGUUGUGGCAGCAGUCAGGGCCAGAGAUAAAGACAUCCCAGACUGGACAGUGGCAGGGAUACAGAGAGCACUGGGCAGUCCCAGAGGCUGACUGGCUAUGGGAUGCUGGGACAGAAGUAACUGGGGUGAUACUGAAGCCCUGCUGGCUCUGGUGACCAGAAGAAUAAGAAGAGGAUUGAGGUCAGUGGGUCACCUAGCAUGAGAACACAGAUUUGACCUCAUUGUGAGGGCAGCAGAGGCGCCUGUCUUCACAGCCUGCGUCUUUCGUGGAACUGGCAGGCUUCUCAGGAAGCUCCACCUCACAGCUACUGGGUAGGACAAAUAAGACUUCUCCCUGAGCAAACGUGGGUACGCCAGGAACUGUGAAAUUCUGUCUAUCAGAAAGCCUCCAGAGAGCCUGAAACUCACUUGGAGCUGUUUCAUAGAAACCCACUCGAGGAAUACAGCAGGCCUCGAAGUGCACCUAUAAGUAAGAACUUUCCAUUCAGCUGUGAACACUAAGGAAAACAUUUCCCACAAAUAUUUUCUAACCAACUUCCAGCAGACAUUGGCCGAGGCAGCCCUGACAGAAACACUGCUUUCAUUGUGUGAGGAGCAGCGGGGCCUCCCGCAGACAUGAGCAGGCUCCCCGGACGGGGCUCUCUGGGCAUGUUCUAGAGGCAAAAUGGACCUGAGAACUGCCCACAUCAUUGGUUAUGUGAAAUAUUUUCUGCCUCUGCUUUAUAAAAACCUGUGCUAAAAUGAAAAUAAUCAUAAAGUGAAUAUGGAAUUGCUACUAGAAUUUUGUUCUUUCUUUACAAAAUAAUUAGAGUAUCUUCUAGAUGCAAGGUACUGUUAAAGAUGGUCGAGAUAAGAAAGCAAAUUCUGAGGUCUCUCUUGGUCUCAUCAGGCUGAACUUCUAAAAUAGAAAGAAAGAGACUAAACAAGGGAAAAAGCAAUUCCUGCUUGGGCUGAGCAGUGUGAAGCACUAGAAACAGGGCAGGAGGGCAGCUGUGUGAUGGGACGAUUGUCAUGAGCCAGGACUGAUGGCGCAUGCAACUAGCAGAGGUGUGUUGAACUCCAGCAUUUCUCUGAGGAAAUGUGUGAAAUAAACCCAAGAAGGAGCCAAUCACAUGAAAACUGGUG
rnacentral:lncRNA from 1 species